rnacentral:rRNA from 1 species
GACGAACGCUGGCGGCGUGCUUAACACAUGCAAGUCGAACGAAGUGGCGAACGGGUGAGUAACGCGUAAUCAACCUGCCCUUCAGAGGGGGACAACAGUUGGAAACGACUGCUAAUACCGCAUACUGAAGGAGGGGAUUGCGUCUGGUGAGCUAGUUGGAGGGGUAACGGCCCACCAAGGCGAUGAUCAGUCCACGGUCUGAGCGAAUGAAAGGCCACAUUGGGACUGAGACACGGCCCAGACUCCUACGUGCGGCAGCAGUGGGGAUGCUGCAGCAAUGGCCGGAGGUCUGACGGAGCAACGCGGCGGGAGUGAUGACGGCCUUCGGGUGGAAGACUUCUGUUCGGUACCUGAAGAGCAAGCCCCGGCUAACUACGUGCCAGCAGCCGCGGUAAUAC